UCUGGGAAAGGGACCAUCAAGAAAAAAUCUGCAAGUAAAUUGCCUGAAAGCACCCGUCUCUGUAUAUUCAUUAUCAUGUAGGGUUGGACGCCAAUACUUUAACACAGAGGGUCCCUUUUCUCAGUCAGAUUGCAGACUGGAGCCCCCUGGGCUGAUGUUUCUGAAGCACCAGAACAAACUUUGGGAGAGCCUGGCAAAGUUUUAUAUCUGCUGAGGUGUAGCAAGCCCCUUAUAGAGGGGAUUUGGAGAUGCAGUUCCUUCUCUAUGCAGAGUAGCGCUGGAUAGAUUUUUGUAAAAGGUUUUGAAGUCUGACUGUGCCAGACCCUUGUGUCUGAUGAUUAUGUUUGUUUAAUUUAGACCUCUGAGUUUGUAACAAUGGAAUUAUCUAUUUUUCAGGACAAUUAACACAAUGCUUUUGUAUGAGCUGAAGGUCAGAGGAUUAAUGUGGUUUUAUCUACAAAACAUUUUUAAAAGCUAAUUAAGAAUCAUCCAGUUUGCUCUGUACUAAAGACUGAGAACAUUUCAUAUUAGAUGACUCUUGAUCCUCUGCAGCAGUAGAGAGGGAAGAGAGAGAGAGAGAGAGAGAGAGAGAGAGAAAUGGAGGGAGAGAGAAUUGGAGAAAGAGUGAGCUGGCAUGCAAAUAAAUAUAUCACAGGGAUGCAGUUAAUAAAGUGCAAUAAAAAAACCUCCAUUCCGGUAGCAGUAGAGAUAAAAUUGUCUCUUGGACCAAAGGACCAAUCUAAAAUAUUAAUCUGAAAAUAUAUUCAGUAUUCACAAUUACAAGAAUUCCUUGUUAGAGCAAGAGAGAUGGAGAUGAAUAUUGAGAAGUGCUUCUCUCAGAACAUUAUUUUAGAGAUGUUUUUAUCACUUAGUGCUUUCACAGCACCUCUUCCUCUCUCUCUCUCUCUCUCCCCUGAGCCUGACAGCCUGUACAUGCCACCAUUCCUCUAUAGGGAAUGCUUGGUUAAUGGGCCUCCAGCCAGACAUGAGUCUCCUGGGAGAAGUAUGCAAGGGUGUGGAGCAACAGUGGGACGUGGGUGCCAGAAGGACCUCAGAGCAGAAGGAGCUGCCCACUGGUGUGGGGAUGAGUGUGAGUGGCAGUGAGAAAGAAGGCAGUUUGCCCUGAAAACACCUCAGCUUCACGGAUUGCAAAGGUCAGGGGAAGCAAAAUGCGACACAAACCAGAGACAUUCAGAGGCAAUGCAAGAGUUUGAGAACCAGGGUGAGAAGGCCUCUGCCUAGCCUUUAAAGGGAUAAGGAGACCAGCUAAUUCUUGGACAAUGGUGGGAGGGGAGAUAACAGAAGCACGUUAAGAACGUGGCACUUGAAAUCAGGCCUGGUAAGACCAGUGUGCUACUCUGCCAGUGCUGAGUGGAAUCUAAAUUUAGGGAUGCACAUGAGUUACGGGCAUAGUGUCACAGGAAUGCUGCACAGGAACUGGAAGAAGAAGGUGCUCUUAGAGUUUCUUUACCAUACUGCUCCAGAUGGUCCAUGUUCUUAUGGAAAGUCUGAUUCUGGAAGGAAUUGUCAGCUCAUCCCAAUGCUUCUGAGAGACUGAGAGUAAGGAAAUACAAUUUCUUUUCAUAUUGGGCAAGUGAAAGGCUCUUGGGGCACACAGAUCACUGGAGAUAUAGCACAGCCUGAAGGCCUAGGAAAUCUCUCCAGCUUGACUCUACUUUUUUUGAAACUCCUUCACUGUUUUCAAAUCCCAGUCUGAAACACUAUUUGGCAGCUGUGAAGAUUGCUUGUGGAGAUAAUUUUGAGUGAUUAUGGACUUCUUUUUCAUGGCUCUGUUACAUUAAGCACCAGAAGUCUUUGUUAAUAGCAUGGCCCAUAUGUUGCCCUCACUGAACAGCACAGUGUGGAGCAAAGGAAUAAAACCACAAGAGAGAUGAAGCCAGAGUAGACAUGGCAAGUCAAAAAAGACGACAGAACAGCUUCCAUAACAAGAGCAGCAACAGAAACUCUGCUUGACAAUGGUCAAUGAGAAACAUGGGAGUUCUCCCUUUGAAAGCCCGGGUUAACUUAAUUCCAGAUCCUAUAUUUUGUUUUAUUAUUCUAUGCUGCUCAUGAUCUGAAAAUUCAAACUCUUCAUUGAAGUUUUAAGAGUCAUUUGUUAUGAAAAGCAAAUUCCAAUCAAAUGCUUAAUGAAUGUUGGAACAAGGCAUGGAUCAGCAGAAUGAGGCAACACUGCCAAAUAUGCUUUUAGAGGACUGAAAAUGUAAUGGAGCCCAACCCUUUUGUCCAGGCUUCCUGUUCUGAAGUGUAAGUUGCUACAAGUUAAAGGUGAGUCUCUCCCCAGCUUUCAGUCAUUACUCUCCAGACAUUAGGCUCUGACUUUCUGGAGGAAGGUUUCUCUGCUUAUUAUGUGUGCAUGAAAGGAGCAAACUGUUUUUUGACUAAGAAUGAACAGCUGAGGAUCAAGAGGUGAGAUUAUGUAACUGUAUUGAACAAUGCAAAUGCUCAUUUUCUGGAAUGUAUUACUUGAAAUAAAAUGCUGAUGUCCCAUAUAGGCAUUCUUUCCUAAGGAACACACCGUGACACAAAGAUUUCAUGCACACUGGCAAUUAAAUGGGGCCUGGGAACAUUGCUGGACUCUGGAAUUCAGAAAUACAUAUCCUGCAACUUGUUUUUGGAUAGCCUCUGACAACUUUGACUUGUGCCAAGCAGCAGUGUCUCAAAAAAUUCAUUGGCUCAGUUCAGGAAUUGGCAGGGGCCAGGGACCGCUCCCAAUAGAUAGCUGAGAUACAUGCAACCCCAUUUGACCUUGAGGAAGUGUACUGGAUGUGGAUCUCUCUAUGAGAAAAAAUCACAUUCAGAGAGAGAACAGUUGAGUUGAGUUUGAUUUAAUAAUCUAGAUGUGGCCACAUAACAAAAUUACAUCAAAUGGGGAAAAAAUACUAAACAAGAUUUUAAUGACCUAUUUGGAACAAAAUUUUUGUCAGGGGAGGAUGGAAUUAACGUAUAAUAAAAUGAGAUUUUUAAGAAAGUGUAUUUUAGUAGCCAACAUAUAUUUCAGUUUUUUAAUUGCACUCAGGAGGUGGCUCUUUAUUAAAUGGUUAAUUGCCCAAUAUAAAGUGAAACUGAUUUUGCAUAAGGUUGAUUAUAUUACUUAAGAAAAACCUAUGCCACAGUAUAUGUAGUGAUUACCAGUAGCAAUGCAAUCUUCUACAUUUUAGUAUUGUCCCAUUCACUAUCAGCCAGUUUCUUUUAUGAUGCAUAAGAAGUAAAGGAGAGAUUACAUGGGUAAUGACAAAUCUGUCUAUCAAGCUAUGUGCUACUGUAUCUAUAUAUUUGAAAUCCAUUAACAAUAACACAAGUAAUUUUGGACCUCUACAGAGUCUAACUUAGAGUAAAGCAGUUUAUUGUGAGAUACUCCCUCAACACACGGGCAAUGAGACCAGACCUAUACAAAUAACCCAACAACCUUGGGAGUCCAUCCAUCUAUUAAGCUGAAAGCAAGGACCAGUAGGUUAAAAGUGAGGGUGUAGGAAGGAAGGAUGCAGACUGAUAUUCUUAAUGCUCUUUUGAAAGGGAGUAAGGGGAAGGAUUACAUUUCUCUUCCCAAGGCACCAAAAAAUAAGUAGCAGCAACUUGAUAGGCUUCUAUUUUUAAUGCACAAAGACUUGAGUUCAUCCCUUAUGGCUGAUAAUGAAUUCCUACAUAUGUUUCUAUGUAGUAAUAAUAGAAAAUGUCCUAUAUACCUGUGCAUGAAUGAACAUAUAAAUCAUAUCAAUAUCUAUUUUGAAUGAAUGAGAGAAAGGUUAGGGCUCAAAUUGACCUUGAAGAUCAUCUAUUUCCAAAUUCUUACCAUGGUUUAGUGAUGUUUCUGAACAGAAAAUACUUGAUUUGGCAAUUAAACAGGUGUGAGAAUCAUUGUUGCAGACUCCUGGAGGUUGUGUGAACAUCAAUUGCUGUGUUUUCACUCAGACACCAAAUCCAAUUAAAGUCGCAGCUGGGAAUUUGUUUGAUGUAUUUUUUUUCCCUAUGCAUUUGUAUCUCACGCAAUGCAAGUGUGCAUAACAAGAGUACAUAUGAGGCAGGCAAGAGAGGUGUGGGUUGAGCUAUUGGCGUUUUGGGGUUUUUUUUCUGUUUUAACUUAAAGCGGAUACUGUCAGUGCAGAAAUGUAUGCAAUGUAUUUUAUGUGCAUGACAGAGCUUUCAGUUUAAUCUAUUUACAACAGUAUAUCUGUGAGAACUCCGUUACACAGAUUUUUUUACCAAAAAUUCCUCUUUAGUUCAAUCCAUAUUAGUGUAAACUUCUAAUUUUUGUGUUCAGAAGACUGAAGUCAUUAAGGAGUUAAGAGAAAAGCAUUAACAGUAUUGUAAUUAUAUGUUAAGAAUUCACACAGCCUUUCCUGACAUUAAAAUAAAAUUGAUUUGAAAAAUUGAAAAUUGAAUUUCCUGCCUCCACUUCCUCACAUUAUUUAUCACGGGCAGUUAGCAGGUAAAAAUAAACCUGCAUGUUAUGUCUAGAAAUAUCAAAAGAUGGAUCUCAAACAACUAAGUACCAGGACAGUGGCAAUUAUGGGUUAUUGUGUGGUAAUGAUGGGUUAUUAUAGGUAUUGUAUAGUACAAAAGGACUGUAAAGGCAGAUUAUAAAAUGAAAAUACAUAUUCAGUCUUUCUCUCUCUUCCCGAAUAACCUUUAAUAAAUUGGUAUAUACAGUGACCCUUAGCAUAAUCAACAUAAAUAUCGGGAGUUGGCAUAAAUGCUUUUUUUUUCACAAUAUGAAAUAUCCAGUUAAAAC